CGGGACCCCAGAGAGCAGGGUGCGUGUGUGCCACGGGGGAUCUCUGCGGGGCUCAGGGCGACCAAGAACCUUUCGGUGUAUCGUGUGUGCCUCUCCAGAUGGCAAAACAGGCCUGCGCUGGUUCUCGCUGGCACCCUGAGGUCAUGUGAUGGGCGUUUGGCCUACUGGUUCAGCUGCUGGCUGGGAUGCCCACAAACCGAAUCAGAACGCCUGCUCUCAGGUCGCAGCUCUUCUCCCAACCCCAGCUUCCUGCUGACGUGCGCCCUGAGAGGCAGCGGUGAUGACUCAAGUGCGUGGGCCUCUGCCACCCCCGUGUGAGACCUGGAUGGAGUUCCUGGCUGCUGGCAUCGGCCUAACUCAGCCCUGGAUGUUUCUGGCAUUUGGGAGUGCACCAGCAGAUGGGAGAUCUCUGUCUUUCUCUUUGUCCACCUUCAAAACGAAAAAGAAAAAAGGAGCUGUUUCUGAAGGGAGAGGCCCUGUUUGUGAGAAAAGCCUAUUGGAACACCACGCUGGAGGUCAGCAAGUGCCAAAAAGGUGUCGGCUAUACCUCGCAGACUGGCAGACUUCUGAGACGGUUUUCGUUGUCACGUCAUCAUUUUGCUUUGCUACCUUGUGGAGCUCAGCUUUGACGCCAUUUUGAACCACAGCAGAAAGCUUAACUGCACCGGGUCUCUUAGGCUGUGCUGCCCAAACGGAGAGCUGGCUAAAGUUCCUGCCAGGGGCUGGCAUUGUGGCUGCUGCCCGAAACAUCAGCAUUCCACAUCCGCGCAUUUGUUCAAGUCCCAGUUGCUCUGUUUCUGGUCCAGCUCCCUGCUAAUGCGUCUGGGAAGGCAGUGGAAAAUGACCCAAGUGCUUAGGUCUCUGCUACCCAUGUCGGAGAUCAAGAUGGUGUUCCUGGCUCCUGGUUUCCAGCAGCCCAACCCCGCCUGUAGCGAUUACUUCAGGGGUGAACCAGCAGAUGGAAGAUUGAUCCAUCUCCCUCUCUAUCUCUGAGUCUCUCUGCUUUUCAGAUAAAUAAAUCUUUUUUCUUUAAGUCCCUGUCAGCACACACGGGGAGGAGCCUGCCACCCACACACGUCAUUCCCUACAGUCUUGGAAAAUGAUGCAAGAAACCCAGUCCUUGUGUACUUAGAAAGCAUUAGAGAUUUUAUUCUGGGAAAACAAUGAGCUCAACUCUGCUGUGUUUUGAUGGAGUGGGGCCCUUUAAAAGGCAAAGGCAACCAGGCCGGGAUUUGAAGAGUGUCCUGCCUUUAAGUGACACCAGGUCACUCUGAUCCUCCAGCCAAUAGCACACUGGACAGCCGAAUCACAAGUGACUCACUGUCCUCCUGCCUCAAACACAGCCUGCUUAGCAUACAAAGCCCAUUUUAUGAGGGAAAGCUGCACUGCAGGCCAGGAGGUUGCUCUGGCUGUUCCCUGUUGCUUUCAGUGCCGGCUUGAGGGUAAGAGGCUGUGACAACCCAAGUCCAUUAGCACUCAGCAUUGUUCAGGGGUUAUUUGGUGGUUGGCACAGGGAUGAUACAAAGAAAGGUUGAAGGCAGUGUCCCAACUCCACCCUUUUCUUAACCCUUUGCCCCUGAGGGCACAUUCCUGCUUUGCCAGCACCACCCUGCCCCCUCCCCUCCCCCAGCCAACUUGCGUGCAAGUGUGCAACUGGAACAAGGUCGGUGUGUGCUUCCCGCUCCCUGGGGAGAGAUGUCACACCCAGGCUCAAGUGACACCGGCCCCCAGAGAAUUUCUACAAGGGCACAGCUCCAAUCCCUGGGGGCAUAGGUGGGCACCAGCCUGUCUCUGUUCUCCUUCUGCACGGGCCUCCAUGAGAAACAAGAAUGUGACCAGCUCUACUGUGCCAGGUCCUCAGAGCCACAUGGUGGGUAGCUCUUUCCAGCGGGUCUACCACCUCUGGCUGCUGGCAUGGACAGGGUGUGGCAGUCCCUCCUAUCCCCGGCUACCCCGGAGAUAAUGAACCACGGGAAGGCCACAGACGGUGCGUGUGUGCUAAUUCUCUUUACCCAGCAGCCGAGGCAAGUGGAGCUGGUGGCCUGGGAAGAACCGUUCUGAGCCUCAGUGUUGGCUCUGAUGUGGAACUGCAGGAGGUGAUUAUACUGGAGUUUCAGGGGGAGCAGCCCUGGAGUGUCCUUGGGAUACAGAAGCGAUUCUUGGCAAGGAAGUGCUUGCUGCCUGUCACUCCCGAUGACUGUGAGGAGUUGAACACCUUGACGGUAUGACUCACAGGAGCAGAGCGAAGUGGCUGCAAUAGGAGCGUGAAGGUGCUAGAACUAGAGUCGGAGCCUGGGUUUGAAUCCUAGCUCUGCCGUUUAUCAGCGGAGCAUUAACAGUGUUAUCCUUAGACCUCGGCUGCAGAAGGUUGAGUUACUCACCUGCUCCAGACAAGGCAAAACCGCCACCGGCCUGUAGGUCCCACCCCGGAUCGUGCUGUGGUUCCUUCCCUAGGACUGAUCUUCAUCAAGACCCUGAUCCCCUGGGUAACCUGUUUGCCACCGUCUGCCCACCACCCUCCACCUUUCCCAUGACCCUUCCCUAGUACCCCAGCCAUCGAGCCUGAAAUGCGUAUCCCCUUUCCUGGGUUCCCCACCCCACUCUGUGGCCCAUCACUGCAAUGACUCCCUUGCCUACGGCUCAGCUCCCUUCUUGCUUCAGAACAUUUGCUUGGCAAAUUCCAGCCCUAGUUAAAUCCCUCUCCAUCUCCUCCCCCCCUGCACUUGGAGUGACUGGAAGCAAAAAUCACUGCACCCAACUCACUGACCUUGUCCGUUCACCCCCAGGGGUGAUCAGUGCUGCCCGGCGAGCCUGUCGCUCGGGCCCCUACUCUCCCCUGUGCCCUGGCUGAUGGAUUCACACCUUCUCUUCUCUCUCGAAUGGCAGCACCUGCUCCCCGCCCUUCCCUCUCAGCUGAGGACACUGCCUCCCAUUUCUCUGGAAAACUGGAAGCCAUCGGAAGAUCACAGGCCUCCUGUAUUUGCCCUGUAGGCUGCCUUCCUCCUGUGACUCAGAGGGACUCUCCUGCUCCUGUCCAAGGCCAGCCCCCUCCCACACACGUGACCCCGCCCUUGGGAGUCCUCCGGGACUGCAUACUUUCCAAUCCUCCCUCUCCUCCUUCUGUAUCCUCAACUUCCUGUCUCUCCUGUAGAUUAAAAAAAAAAAAAAAAAAAAAAAAAAAAAAAAAGAAAGGCAGAGAGACAGAAAGAGAGAGGUGUCCCAUCCACUAGUUCACUCCCCAAAUGUCCACAACCGCUAGGGCUCGGCCAGGCUCAAGCCGGGGUCCAGAACUCGGUCAAGGUCUCCAAUGCAGUGACAGGGACUCGUGUACUUGAGCCACCAUCUGCUAUGCUACCCUCAGGGAGCACAGUAGCAGGAAGCUGGAUUGGAAACGGAGCAGCUGGAACUCGAACCAGGCACCCCAACAUGGGACACCAUACCAAGGGAAGACUUAACCAGGGUGCAGCAUGCCCACCUGGCUCCUGGAUUAUUCUGACCAGGUAACCGCACGGCCCAACGACUCCUACAACCUCGCUGUCCCACACCGCGCUCCAGAGUCUGCCUCCUCAGGUCUCUGAUUCUUUCCAAACAAAAUUCCUCGGAGCAGUGGUCUCCGGGUCCUCUCUCCUCUGCUCUCGUAGUCAGGCAGGCUAUAGUUGGGCAUUUGGUCUCAAAUAUAUAUUAUUUAUUUUUCUAUUAUCUUAUAUUAUUUAGACUACAUAUAUUUGUUCCCCAGUGAAACUGUCCUUGCCAAGGUCGCUCGUGACCUCCUCUGCCGAUUUCAAAGGUCAGUCCCUAUCUUAGUUGACCUAUCUACAACAUUUGACGCAGCUGACCAAGCCCUUGCCCGUGAAACCAUUCUUCCUGGGUGGGGCGCCUCUCCCCAUGCUGGCCACGCCUGCGUCUCCUUUCUGGCAUUUCUGCCCCUCCCUGACCUCACCGCGGCACACUCCAUGCCCUCCCACCCCCCGCUUGCUCUCUGCUCCUCCAUGGGGGUCUCACCAGCGGAGUUUGCAGUUCUGGCCUCCCUUCCCGCCGCAGGCUAAUGACUGCUGAGGGUGCCUCUGGGUGCGUGUCUCAAUGGCCGCUAGCUGAGUCCUGACUCCUGUCCCUGUCUGUGGGUCCCAGAGUUCCCCCACUUCAGAAAGUGACAGCUCUGGGGCUGGCGCUGUGGCCCAGCAGGCGCGACACCGGCAUCCCAUAUCAGCCCUGCUGGAGUGCCGGCUGCGCGCUGCCGAUCCAGCCCCCUGCUAGUGCACCUGAGAGGGCAGCGGAUGAUGCCCCAAGUACCGGGGGCCCCUGCGCCCACGUGGGAGGCCCGGAUGGAGCUCCAGGCUCCUGGCCUGGGCCUGGCCCAGACCUUGCUGUUGUGCAUGUGGGAAGUGAACCAGCGGAUGGAGAUUCUCUCUCUCUCUGUAACUCUGCCUUUCAAAUAAAUACAUCUUUGAAAAAUGA